CUCUCUGCUCUCAACACUCAUCCAUGCCUUUCAAGUCUGGAAAGCAGCUUGGGAAAGUUAAGCUCUAAGAGCCCCUCUCUUUCUAUCUCGUAGAACAUCAAGGAAGUAUGGCCAAGCCCCAAGUUGGCUCAAGAGCAUUACACAAGUUUGAAGAUUUUUAUUGAGAUGUUCUCAAAUGCAGACUCUUUCCUCAGCUGUGUCUAGUCUACUAAUGAGCCCAUCAAAGAGGUGUCAGUGCUGAGCCUCCAGCCCCUCAUCAGUUGCAGUUCUGACUUCCCUGCCUGGUUCCUUCAGAGGCUUGUGCUCCUGGGUGUUUGCUCUGAUCCCUUUGAUAAAAAAAAAAUAACCCCCACUAUCCAGGCUGUAAUCUAC